rnacentral:rRNA from 1 species
AUACGGAGGGUGCAAGCGUUACUCGGAAUCACUGGGCGUAAAGCGCGCGCAGGCGGCUAUUUAAGUUGGAUGUGAAAGCCUACGGCUCAACCGUAGAACUGCAUCCAAAACUAUUUAGCUAGAGUGUGGGAGAGGAAGAUGGAAUUAGUUGUGUAGGGGUAAAAUCCGUAGAGAUAACUAGGAAUACCAAAAGCGAAGGCAAUCUUCUGGAACACUACUGACGCUCAGGCGCGAAAGCGUGGGGAGCAAACAGGAUUAGAUACCCUAGUAGUCC